ACUUUACAUAAAUAUGAAAUAAUUUUAUUUAUUUGUUAAUUUAAAGUUAAUUCGUGUUUCUGUUUCAUUGGGGUGAUGAAAGUAUAAAAUUAACUGCUUAUAGUUAUAACAAAUAAUUUUUGAAUAUAAUGAUCCUUAUUUAUUAAGAAUAAAGAAAAAGUUACUUUAGGAAAUAACAGCGUA
rnacentral:rRNA from 1 species